AACCAGUUUUCGCAGAACUGGGGAGUGAUUUAGUGGUUCCUCUCACUGCAACCGUGGUUGGUCCAAGUAGAUUUUCAGUUAAUGGUGAUUGAUUCGGUAAAUUUUAUACAGAAAUUAGGGUAUUAAUGAUUCUUUGAUUGAGAAUUGGUUCUGAUGCUGAUAGAAAAGAAAAGGUUUUGGUAAUUUCUUUCACUAUAGGCAGUAGGAAUACGAGUUUCCUUUCUGAAACAGUUUUCUUUUACACGCUAUUUUUGUUUAUGUUAUCCGAGAGCUUGAUGACUAAAAUAUUCGUGCCUUGCUUAUUGGGAAUUUGCAGAAGUUGAAGAUAGGAUAGAGACUGAAGAUUAUGAGAAAUUGGCGAAGGAGAUGGACCACGCCUCCCCGCUUGAAAUUUUUGAUAAAGCCCUCGAGAAAUUUGGCAUCGCCAUUGCAUUUAGGUGAUGGAAGGAUCAUAUGUUGAAUUAUCAGAGAAGCUAGCAGGUAGUGGGGUGAAGUUCAGGGCUGAUGGUGAGCGAAAGGCAUAUGCACAGGAAGAGCUGCUGCUGCUAGGGAGCUUUCCCACAAUACUCUUUUUCCUCAAACCCUUGUCCUGCCCCAUCAAGUACACCACUCGGAGAAGAGAGAUGUCGAUUCAUUGAUGGCUUUCAUAAAUGCUCUGUGAUGAUUAUAACUGAUAUCCCUGCUAUCAAGAAUUCAGUAAUUUGGAUGCUGAAAUAGAACUAUAUAAUAUGGGAUUUGCCUGGAUGCUCCUCCUUGGCCUAUAUAUUCCCAGCAAUGGAAUGCACCAGCGGUUGUUAUUGUAUAUUCAUGGUAUGCAUAGAUUUUUCCUUUUUUAUUCUUGGGAAGGGGGUGUUUCUUUUCUUGAUCUUAGUCAGAAAUUCCUCCCGUCGUGCUUUAGUUCAGUAGAGUAGGAAUUGGGUGAGAUCGAUAAUCUCCUCGGGGUUUGCAGAAUAAGAGCAAACAUGGCUCUCAUUUGUAACAUUACAAUUUAAGCUAAUCUUGGAUUCCCAUUUUUCUGCG